UUCAGCUUAAGGUUCCACUCUUGGAGUAAAUGGAGAAAUUUAUAACUGCGCGAUAACACCGCCCUGACCUUCUCUACUCAGCGUGAGAAUUAAUUACCUGAGGCCAGUCCUAUGGAACAUUGUGAAGGCACGAUUCAAAGACGCCAGCCAACCAUCUGGCACUUGAAAGAGGCUAAGAAAGCCAGUUCCAUGGACUCUCCCCAUCAUGGCAUCGG
rnacentral:lncRNA from 1 species